UAACUGAUAAGUUAAGUAUUUAAACUGCGGGGUUCAUGUCCCCGUUAUACAUUUGAUGUUUGGUUAG
rnacentral:tRNA from 1 species